UGGGGAAUCUUCCGCAAUGGACGAAAGUCUGACGGAGCAACGCCGCGUGAGUGAAGAAGGUUUUCGGAUUGUAAAGCUCUGUCUUUUGGGAAGAAUGUGCGCCAGUUUAAGAGAUGGGCGCAAUGACGGUACCAAAGGAGGAAGCCACGGCUAACUACGUGCCAGCAGCCGCGGUAAUACGUAGGUGGCAAGCGUUGUCCGGAAUUAUUGGGCGUAAAGGGCGUGUAGGUGGGUUAUUAAGUCUUAAGUCUAAACACAGUGCUCAACAUUGUGGCGCUUAGGAAACUGAUAAUCUUGAGUAAAGGAGAGGAAAGCGGAAUUCCCAGUGUAGCGGUGAAAUGCGUAGAGAUUGGGAAGAACACCAGUGGCGAAGGCGGCUUUCUGGACUUAAACUGACACUGAGGCGCGAAAGCUAGGGUAGCGAACG
rnacentral:rRNA from 1 species